ensembl:lncRNA
CAUGAACCAGGCAUGGUGGGAUUACACACCUAUAAUCCCAGCACUGGAGAGGCUGACUUGGAGGAUCGCCUGUGAGUUCAAGGCCAGCCUGGGCUACAUAGUUCAAGGUCAGCCUGAAAUACAUAGUGAGACCCUGUGUCAAAAAAUAAAAGCAUAUAGAGAUAGUGCUUGAUAAGCAUUCAAUAAAGUGCUAGUAUUAGUAUCAUUUCAGUGGGUAAAUUCUAUUAGAUUGAAUGUUUGUGUUCCCCCACAAUUCAUGUUGAAACCUAAUGCGCAAUGUGAUGGUAUUUAGAAGUGGGGCCUUUGGGGAGAGAUUAGAUCAUGAGGGCAAAUGAAGUCAGUGCCCUUGGAAAAGAAUUUAGAGAACUGCCUUGCCCUUUCUUCCAUGUGAGGACAUAGCAGAAAAGACAGCUGUCUGUGUACCAGGAAACAUAUCCUCAGGAGACACUGAAUCUGCAAGCACCCUAAUCUUGGACUUGCCAGAAGUGUGAAAUGUAAAGAAAUGCAAGAUGCGAAGUUUUAUUUUUUUUGUAAACCACUCAGUAUGUUAUUUUGUUAUAGCUGCCUCAAACACACUUAAGACACUUUCCUUUGAUUAUUUUUCUAAAGCUUUCUACAGCCAGUGCUACUGAUAAAAUCCAGAAAGCAAUAUUAAUUAUUUCCUAUGUUUAUCUUUCAGUUCAAACGAAAGUAUUGAAGAACCCUUGUAACCUCAAUUGAAAGAUCAUUAGAGGGAGCCAGCCCCUAGAUUUGGACGAAUGUUCUUUAUAUAUCCCCUUUCACAUUUCACAAUCAUGAUUUAGAAUGAAAAUUGACAUUUCAGUCACUAAAACUGGUAGUUUUGGGCUGAGGGUGUAGCUCAGUGGUAGAGCACAUGCCUAGCAUGUUUAAGGCCCUGGAUCCAAUCCCUAGGACUGGCAAACACAAAGAAAAAAAGACUGAUAGCUCGUCUGUAUGAUCUGGCCUCUCUUGAGCCAAGUUAAAUCAGCUGUUGGAGAAGCAGUGAAAGGGACAGGGGACCAAGAGAUGGAGGAAGAGGGGAGAACAGGUAAAAAAAUUAUGUGUUACAUGCAUGCAUCGACUACCUACAAGGAGUGGAAUCAUUAUGUACUGCAAACCUGUACUAAUAAAAUGAAAAAUGUUGAAUUGAGUUCCAAAGUACAUUUCAACGUCAUGUGCUUUUUGUGGUCUUCUUUUGUGGUACUGGGUGUUGAACCCAGAGCUAUUACACUGAGCUUUAGCUUCCCCCACCUUUUUAUGUUUAUUUUGAGACAGGGUCUUGCUAAGUUGCCCAGGCGGAAUUUGAACUGAGGAUCCUCCUGCCUCAGCUUCCAAAAUGCUGGGAUUACAGGUGUGGGCUACCAUGCCAAGCAGAAACGUUGCACCUCUCAUCACUGCUGGCAAGGCAGCACCUGGAGGAAGACUCUUGUUUCCUCAAGGAGCCUUCAUUGCAUGCAGAAAGGACGUCACUUUCCUCAACUUUCCAUUGCUUAAUAAAGUGUCCUGUCAGAAUCUGCUAAUUCUGGUCCCCCUCCGUUCUGGCUUCUAAGCACUGAAAAAGCCAAUCUCUUCUAAGUGGGGUUGCAUGUGACUGACAUACCAGAAAUCUGUAACACAUAAAAGGAAUUUGUACCCAGGCAUGGUGUCACACUCCUGGAAUUCCAGCACUCCGGAGGCUGAGGCAGGAGGAUUGCCAUAAGUUCGAGGCUAGCCUUGGCUAUGUAGUGAGUUUAAAACCACCCUGAACUAUGUACUGAGACCCUGUCUCUAAACAAAUUUUAAAAAGGGUUGUAAGUAAAUUACUGCUUGUUCCAUCUCUUCCUCAAUGGUGUAUGAAGAAUACGGCAAUUCUAGACAUCAUGAGUGCAAAAACUUUAAAAAUUAAAGGUGGU